AUGUAUACAAGUGGGAGAAUGACAGAGAGAGAGAGAGAGAGAAAGAUGGAGCGCCGACUGCUUUCCGGUGAGCCCUCCGUCAAACCCAAUUAGCCUCCGCGGCAGCAACACCACGACCACAUGAUGCUUCCUUCAAAAGAGAUAAAGAGAGAAACAUAGAGUGUGGUAUAAGAGAGAGAUAGAGACGGUGACUUUGACAGUUCGGCUUAGGGUUCCGACGAACUCCUUUUGAUGGUAAAUCUGUGCAUAUGUAAGCUGGAGAAGUUGGAGGGUGAAUCCAGUGAUGGCAGAUUAGAAGAAGAGGAGAAGUCAGGAGCAACUUCUGCCUUCCAUCAACAAAAAACGGAAAUUGCCGUCCUGCACACCAGUUGUUUGACUUAAUGCUCAGUUGAGGUUGCUAAAUCCAAGGCAUUCUCAAUAAAAGUUUGGUUCCUUGAUUCGUGUGUCAAGAUAACUCCAGCAAGAAUCGAGCAUAUACAAAUGCCCAGCCUGUACCAACAAGCGAGCGCGCCCUUGAUUGAAUUGUAAGACCGUGUUGCUAGAAUCGAUCAUAGACAUUGAUUUGCUUGAAGGGUGGCUGCAGUAGUGAAAGAUGGUGUGCUGGCUCCAAUUGCUGCUGUGAACCCUGAAGUGCAUUUCGAACCAGGAGCCUUUUGUUUAUGAGCUGGUUCUGGACAUUAUAACUAUCUCACAAGGUUUUAUUGAGUCAUUCU
rnacentral:lncRNA from 1 species